rnacentral:rRNA from 1 species
UACGGGGGGGGCAAGCGUUGUUCGGAAUUACUGGGCGUAAAGGGCUCGUAGGUGGCCAACUAAGUCAGACGUGAAGUCCCUCGGCUUAACCGGGGAACUGCGUCUGAUACUGGAUGGCUUGAGUUCGGGAGAGGGAUGCGGAAUUCCAGGUGUAGCGGUGAGAUGCGUAGAUAUCUGGAGGAACACCGGUGGCGAAGGCGGCAUCCUGGACCGGCAUUGACGCUGAGGCGCGAAAGCCAGGGGAGCAAACGGG